AUUGAACGCUGGCGGCAGGCUUAACACAUGCAAGUCGAGCGAGCGGCGGACGGGUGAGUAAUGUCUGGGAAACUGCCUGAUGGAGGGGGAUAACUACUGGAAACGGUAGCUAAUACCGCAUACCAUCAGAUGUUCCCAGAUGGGAUUAGCUAGUUGGUGGGGUAAUGGCUCACCUAGGCGACGAUCCCUAGCUGGGCGGAGAGGAUGAACAGCCGAACUGGAACUGAGACACGGGCGUGACGCCUACGGGAGGAAGCAGGGGGGAAUAUUGGACAAUGGGAGCAAGCCUGAUGCAGCCAUGCCGCGUGUGUGAAGAAGGCAUUCGGGGUGUAAAGUACUUUCAGCGAGGAGGCGUUACUCGCAGAAGAAGCACCGGCUAACUCCGUGCCAGCAGCCGCGGUAAUUC
rnacentral:rRNA from 1 species